rnacentral:misc_RNA from 1 species
UUUCCGUAGGUGAACCUGCGGAAGGAUCAUUACUGAAAUAAAGUAAUUCUUUGAAAGGUCUUCGAGUAGGCCGGCCCUGAAAAGCCGGCCCAAAGAACCUCUCUCACCCUUGUGUACCCUACCACGUUGCUUUGGCGGGCCGACCCGGUUUCGACCCGGGCGGCUGGGACCCCCCCUCCCCCGGGAGGACGUCCGGCUACGUGCCCGCCAGUAGACAAAACUCGACGAAUGAAUUGUAGUCCUGAUACAUCAUUUAAUUGAUUAAAACUUUCAACAACGGAUCUCUUGGUUCUGGCAUCGAUGAAGAACGCAGC